AUGAAUGCAGGCCGGCGGGCACAUCAACCCAACGGUGACAUUCGGGCUGUUCCUGGCGAGAUCAUCGGCACCUUCUUCCUCGUCUACAUCGUCUUCUCCGCCACCGACGCCAAGAGGAACGCCAGGGACUCACACGUUCCCAUCCUUGCCCCGCUGCCAAUCAGGUUCGCCGUGUUCCUGGUCCACCUGGCCACCAUCCCCAUCACCGGCACCGGCAUCAACCUGGCGAGGAGCCUCAGCGCGGCCAUCCUGCAGCAAACGCAGCCUGCAAAUGCCCCGCUGGUCCACUAUAAGUUUGAGCUACUAGGUGAAAUUUUAUUCCUUACCGUUAACAUCAUUGAUAGAUACCUGGCCCGGGAAAAUGUCGCUAGGAAGAAGCUGCUGCUGUUGCUGUUGCAGUUUCUUGUUGGCACCAAGGUGUUUGAGAUGGUCUUCCUGUUGGUGCAUGAGGAAGAGGAAGUGAAGUCAUUGAUUUGUCCACCGAGGAAGAGGAAGCGUGAAGUCCUUGAUUUGUCCGGAGGGUAA
rnacentral:rRNA from 1 species